GUGCUCGCUUUGGCAGCACAUAUACUAAAAGUGAUAUGAUUUUACAAGGAGGAUUAGCAUGGGCCCUGCACAAGGAUGACACGCAGAUUUGUGAAGCAUUCCAUAUUUUU